rnacentral:rRNA from 1 species
CUAGCGACUUCAGAGUUUGAUCCUGGCUCAGGACGAACGCUGGCGGCGUGCUUAACACGUGCAAGUCGAGCGGGGAUUGAUGAUGUCUUCGGACGGAUUCAAUUCUAGCGGCGGACGGGUGAGUAACGCGUGAGCAAUCUGUCCUACACAGGGGGAUAACACUUGGAAACAGGUGCUAAUACCGCAUAAGACCACGAGGUCGCAUGGCCACGGGGUAAAAGAUUUAUCGGUGUAGGGUGAGCUCGCGUCCCAUUAGCUAGUUGGUGAGGUAACGGCCCACCAAGGCGACGAUGGGUAGCCGACCCGAGAGGGUGAUCGGCCACAUUGGAACUGAGACACGGCCCAG